rnacentral:rRNA from 1 species
CGCACGGGUGCGUAACGCGUAUGCAAUCUGCCUUGUACAAAGGGAUAGCCCAGAGAAAUUUGGAUUAAUACCUUAUAGUAUACUGAUGUGGCAUCACAUUAAUAUUAAAGAUUUAUCGGUACAAGAUGAGCAUGCGUCCCAUUAGCUAGUUGGUAUGGUAACGGCAUACCAAGGCAAUGAUGGGUAGGGGUCCUGAGAGGGAGAUCCCCCACACUGGUACUGAGACACGGACCAGACUCCUACGGGAGGCAGCAGUGAGGAAUAUUGGACAAUGGGCGCAAGCCUGAUCCAGCCAUGCCGCGUGCAGGAUGACGGUCCUAUGGAUUGUAAACUGCUUUUAUACGGGAAGAAAACCUGGCUCGUGAGCCAGAUUGACGGUACCGUAGGAAUAAGGAUCGGCUAACUCCGUGCCAGCAGCCGCGGUAAUACGGAGGAUCCAAGCGUUAUCCGGAAUCAUUGGGUUUAAAGGGUCCGUAGGCGGCUUUAUAAGUCAGUGGUGAAAUCCGGCAGCUCAACUGUCGAACUGCCAUUGAUACUGUAGAGCUUGAAUUAUUGUGAAGUAACUAGAAUAUGUAGUGUAGCGGUGAAAUGCUUAGAGAUUACAUGGAAUACCAAUUGCGAAGGCAGGUUACUAACAAUCGAUUGACGCUGAUGGACGAAAGCGUGGGUAGCGAACAGGAUUAGAUACCCUGGUAGUCCACGCCGUAAACGAUGGAUACUAGCUGUUUGGCAGCAAUGCUGAGUGGCUAAGCGAAAGUGAUAAGUAUCCCACCUGGGGAGUACGAACGCAAGUUUGAAACUCAAAGGAAUUGACGGGGGCCCGCACAAGCGGUGGAGCAUGUGGUUUAAUUCGAUGAUACGCGAGGAACCUUACCAGGGCUUAAAUGUAGUGGGACAGGCUUGGAAAACAGGUCCUUCUUCGGACUCAUUACAAGGUGCUGCAUGGUUGUCGUCAGCUCGUGCCGUGAGGUGUCAGGUUAAGUCCUAAUAACGAGCGCAACCCCUGUUGUUAGUUGCCAGCGAGUCAUGUCGGGAACUCUAACAAGACUGCGCGGUGCAAACCGUGAGGAAGGUGGGGAUGACGUCAAAUCAUCACGGCCCUUACGUCCUGGGCUACACACGUGCUACAAUGGCCGGUACAGAGAGCAGCCACUGGGCGACCAGGAGCGAAUCUAUAAAACCGGUCACAGUUCGGAUUGGAGUCUGCAACCCGACUCCAUGAAGCUGGAAUCGCUAGUAAUCGGAUAUCAGCCAUGAUCCGGUGAAUACGUUCCCGGGCCUUGUACACACCGCCCGUCAAGCCAUGGAA